rnacentral:rRNA from 1 species
UCAAGCUAAAAAGAGCGCAAGGGGAAUGCCUUGGCAUCAGGAGCCGAAGAAGGACGUGACAAGCUGCGAUAAGCUGCGGUGAGGAGCAAAUAUCCUUUGACCCGCAGAUCUCCGAAUGGGGCAACCCGGCUGGACAAUAUCCAGUCAUCCUGCAUUGAACAAAAUAGGUGUAGGAAGGGAACCGUCUGAACUGAAACAUCUAAGUAGGACGAGGAAGAGACAUCAACCGAGAUUCCGCAAGUAGUGGCGAGCGAACGCGGAAGAGGCCAAACCGGAGGAAUAAUUCUCCGGGGUUGCGGACAGUCAUUUAGCAGAAGAUAUCUAACCGAAGGGUCUGGGAAGGCCCACCACAGAGGGUGAGAGUCCCGUAGGUGAAAGAGAAGGCUGUGAGACUGAAUCCAGAGUACCGCAGGACACGUGAAACCCUGCGGGAAACAGGGGGGACCACCCUCCAAGCCUAAAUACUACCUGAUGACCGAUAGAGGAGCAGUACCGUGAGGGAAAGGUGAAAAGGACCCCGGGAGGGGAGUGAAAGAGAACCUGAAACCUUGUGCUUACAAGCACUCAAAGCCCGUUAAAGGGUGAUGAGGUACCUUUUGUAGAAUGGUCCGGCGAGUUAUUGUUACUGGCAAGCUUAAGGCAUUCAGUGCCGGAGGCGCAGGGAGACCGAGUCUGAAUAGGGCGUAUGAAGUCAGUGGCAAUAGACCCGAAACCGGGUGACCUAUCCAUGGGCAGGUUGAAGUGGGGGUAAAACCCCAUGGAGGACCGAACGCACGCCCGUUGCAAUGGUCGGCGAUGACCUGUGGAUAGCGGUGAAAUUCCAAUCGAACUCGGAGAUAGCUGGUUCUCCCCGAAAUAGCUUUAGGGCUAGCGUUGGCUUAGAUUACCGGAGGUAAAGCACUGAAUGGGCUAGGGGCCGAUAAGGUUACUGAACCCUAUCAAACUCUGAAUGCCGGAUAAUUGAUGGCCAGCAGUCAGUCUACGUGAGAUAAGUCUCGUGGACAAAAGGGAAACAGCCCAGACCCACAGCUAAGGUCCCAAAGAUACGCUAAGUGGAAAACGAUGUGGAGUUGCGAAAACAACCAGGAUGUUGGCUUAGAAGCAGCCACUCAUUAAAAGAGUGCGUAAUAGCUCACUGGUCGAGUGACUCUGCGCGGAAAAUAUAACGGGGCUAAGCGUAACACCGAAGCUUGGGCUGCACAGCAAUGUGCGGGGUAGGGGAGCGUCGAAUAUGGGGUGAAGUCGCAGCGGAAGCAGCGGUGGACUGUAUUCGAGUGAGAAUGCCGGAAUGAGUAGCGAGAAUUAUGUGGGAAUCAUAAUGGCCGAAAAUCUAAGGUUUCCUGGGGAAGGUUCGUCCGCCCAGGGUAAGCCGGGAGCUAAGGCGAGGCCGGAAGGCGUAGUCGAUGCACAUACGGUUGAAAUUCCGUAGCCACCGAACCUUAAGUACACUGACACAUGGAGAUAGCGGGACCCGGGCGUUGGUUGACCCGGGCGUAAGGGACCGAACUUUAGUAGGGAAGUCCGCGAUGCUCUGUGGCGAGAAAAGGUGUAUGGUAUGCUAAGGUGCCCGUACCGCAAACCGACACAGGUAGAUGAGGAGAGAAUCCUAAGGCCAACGGGAGAAGGGUUGUUAAGGAACUCGGCAAAAUGACCCCGUAACUUCGGGAUAAGGGGAGCCUCCUACGGGAGGCCGCAGCGAAUAGGCCCAAGCGACUGUUUACCAAAAACACAGGUCUCUGCUAAAUCGAAAGAUGACGUAUAGGGGCUGACGCCUGCCCGGUGCUGGAAGGUUAAGAGGAGAUGUUAGCCGCAAGGCGAAGCAUUGAAUCGAAGCCCCAGUAAACGGCGGCCGUAACUAUAACGGUCCUAAGGUAGCGAAAUUCCUUGUCAGGUAAGUUCUGACCCG